ACGUUACUCCAACUGGCGAGCGUCAGGUUGUAAUGAGUGGACACGGGCGAGAAGCUGUUGCUUAUGAUAUGUCGUUUAAUUUUCACUUAAAAGUAACUUAUUUCCUUAGCGACGCAGCACAACGGGUUCUUCACAAAUUUAUUCAAAAGCUUUUAAAGUGCGUAUAAAACGAAUUUUUUUUUUGCGUUUUCUGGUUAAUAGCUGUAUUCUAAAUUAGAAGUAAUUGACCUUAGCGCCUAGUCGGUUCUCCUUGACCAUUUUUUUUUUUGUGCAUUGAAAGUACGAUUUGGCGGCCAAAGAGUGUCCCCAUCAGGCGCACGGCUAAAACGAUCAUGUUACACAGCUGUGACGUAAAAACGAUGAAGAUACGUCAGCAACCAUGGCGGAGAAAAUAGAAAUCUUGAAGGAAGGAAACGUAUCGCGUGGCCGGAGCACCAAAUAAUGUUAGCUACAAGAAUAAUACACAUAUACCGGGUAUUUCUAAACACUGCUUUCCAAAAAAUGUAGCUGUAUAGCCAAAAUGGACGCGUUUCGAUCGUCGACAUCGAGGAGAUUUUGCUCUUCAAUGUCGUUUGCCUUAUGCUCCGUACCGGCUUCGAAGACGGCUGUUACGAACACAAACCAAGAGUCAAAUCAGGGAAAGAUAACCAAUGAAUUCUGCUAAAAAGAAUGCUGAUUAAGGGGCCUGUUCCCACACCGUGCACCAUAAUUUUCUCUUCGGCUGACAUUUCGCAAGCGAAGAAAGUUUCCAUCGCAUUUUAAUAACGGAAACAAAGUGCAAGCCAAACUCAAGCCCUUUCCUGUGCUGACCGAUAUCCUGUUGCGUGAACAGUGCGAAACCUCUGGCGGAUACUAGCAGAAACACAACCUCUAAGAGGCCGCCGGUGUAUUCUCCUAACCUAGGUUUCCGAAAAUUCAUCCCAAGAGCUCUCAGUUCCCCCCUGCCCUCAAGAAAUUAAGAGUAGCCACAGUAACAACAUCAUUGUGAUAACAGCACUACAACGAGAUAAAUAAAGAAAUUGAAAUUUUAUUGAA